AUAUCAAUAAGCGGAGGAAAAGAAACCAACAGGGAUUGCCCUAGUAACGGCGAGUGAAGCGGCAACAGCUCAAAUUUGAAAUCUGGCUCUCGGGCCCGAGUUGUAAUUUGUAGAGGAUACUUUUGAUGCGGUGCCUUCCGAGUUCCCUGGAACGGGACGCCAUAGAGGGUGAGAGCCCCGUCUGGUUGGAUGCCAAAUCUCUGUAAAGUUCCUUCAACGAGUCGAGUAGUUUGGGAAUGCUGCUCUAAAUGGGAGGUAUAUGUCUUCUAAAGCUAAAUACCGGCCAGAGACCGAUAGCGCACAAGUA
rnacentral:rRNA from 1 species